GGGCCCGGGGAAAGCCUAUUUAGGUUACCCUAUUUAAGUGAGGAAAAGUUUGAAUUCUUUUCCUUUUUGUUUUUCUUUUCUUAUUUUACUUUUCGCCGUUUCCUUUACUCCCGCGCCUCCUCUCCCGAGCUUUCCCCGACGCCGAGCCCUAACCACCCUUCCUAGCCGGCGCUGCAAACCCCGCUGCCACCCUCUCCUCUGCCGACGCCGACGACGCCAUGGAACAGAGAGCCGGCAGCUGAGCAUCCCUUCUUCUCCCUCGUGUGCACGCCCUCGCCCUAGAUCCGCCGGCGUCCGAGCCUUAGCGCCGGCCUCUCCCUCUCUUCUUCCUUUCCGAGCCGCACUGGACGGCGCCACCACUUGAGGUCGAAGGGAGCAGCGUCGCCGCGAUUUCUCUGCCCUAGCUUGCACCCGAGCCUUCCUCUCCCCUGAUCUGUGCGCCGAGGUCGACCUCUGUGCCCUAGCAAGCCAGCCAGCCACCCUCCUUAAGCGAUGCUUCACCGCUUCCUGUGUCGCCUCUGGUCCCCACGGCCAACCCCAGUCACCGCUGCCGUCGCCGUUCAUCCUCGCGAGCAGCCGAUGCAGAAAAUGGGGUUGUUCACAGCCGGCCCUAUCUGUGCCCUAGUGCUGACACCAAUCCAGCACACUCCUCUUGAGUGUGCCCUAGUGUGGAAUCCAAACCUAGUGCUUCCUCUUGCUGCCACUGCCGAGCGAGCUUGCCACUGUGUUUUUGGCAGUCACCUCUGUGUCGGCCAUCAAAUCUGCCACUGCCUCUGUGCCAUUAUUCCCUUCACGGGCUGAUCUGUGGCCAAGCGAAAGAAGUCUCCAAUCUAGCUUCAAGACUAGCGCUGGAUCUCAGUCUCGGUCUGGUGUGAAGUUGCCGGCAGUUAGUAUGGUGAUCAGACAACAAGGUGCUGAUGUGGAAGGGUUGACCUGUUAGGCAACGACUCCACUGUGGAUCCAAGCAUCACUGGUUGAGGACGAUCCACAGAUUUGAGCAACCUAUUUCUGGUCAUGGAUUCCUUUAAUUGUGAGUUACCAGCCACCUACUUGAGUUUGGGACUUUGACACGAGACGAGCAUCUUGACAUCAGAUUGGACCGGAUACGAUCCUCUUAUCGG